GCUCCAGCCUCUGCAGUCAGCAGCUAGCUGAUGCCUUGUUCUACGAUGGCAUGUAAACUUUCAAAUAUACAUUCCCAAUACAAGUUGGAUUCCAUAUUAGCAUUUCAACACUUAAAACAAAAUAUAGACCCAGAGUGCUCAGAAGUGUGUACGGAUACAAAAUUUUCAUUUUUUCCCCCAUAGAUUUCAUCAAAGGAGCCAGUGUUGCUGGGUAUUCUACUGCACCAGGGUUUCUCCUUGGCAGCGUGGACAGAAUUUCUACUGAUGAUGUUCAAAGCAAGAACGUGCCGUGUGCUCAGCUUCUGCAGUUCCUCCAAAGGAACAUCAUCAUUGCCGCCGCCUCGGUGGCAGGAGUCCUCGUGGUCACAGUGUUGCUGCUGCUGGCGUUGACCACAUGCAUCAGGAGGAAGCAGCUAUCACAUCCUCCGGCGAACAUGACAUAUAAUAUUUUUAUUCUGAGUGGGAAGACUUGGUGGCAAAAAUUUCAAGAAAAGAACCCCAGAAAACACAGCGAUAAACAGAAACAGUUGUUGAAGAGCAAGUCCUGUGUGUAG
rnacentral:lncRNA from 1 species